UACAGAGGGGGCAAGCGUUGUUCGGAAUUACUGGGCGUAAAGGGCGCGUAGGCGGCCUGCUAAGUCGAACGUGAAAUCCCUGGGCUCAACCCAGGAACUGCGUCCGAUACUGGUUGGCUUGAAUCCGGGAGAGGGAUGCGGAAUUCCAGGUGUAGCGGUGAAAUGCGUAGAUAUCUGGAGGAACACCCGUGGCGAAGGCGGCUCUCUGGGACGGUACUGACGCUGAGACGCGAAAGCGUGGGGAGCGAACAGG
rnacentral:rRNA from 1 species